GGAACGGGAGCACGAGUGGCUGUGCCCUUGCCUCUUAAGCAAGUCCGUGUGGGUUCAAGUCCCAUCCGUUCCACCA
rnacentral:tRNA from 1 species